UGACCAGAACUCUGGGGAUUUGGGUGAGG
rnacentral:piRNA from 3 species